AAAGUUGUUGCAGUUAAAAAGCUCGUAGUUGGAUUUCGGGACGGCACGGUCGGUCCACCGCAAGGUGUGUCACUGGCCGGGCUGUUCUUCCUCGCAAAGACUGCGUGUGCUCUUAGCUGAGUGUGCGCAGGACUUGCGACGUUUACUUUGAAAAAAUUAGAGUGUUUAAAGCAGGCCAUCGCUUGAAUACAUAAGCAUGGAAUAAUGGAAUAGGACUUUGGUUCUAUUUUGUUGGUUUCUGGAACCGAAGUAAUGAUUAAGAGGGACAGUUGGGGGCAUCGUAUUCGUUGUCAGAGGUGAAAUUCUUGGAUUUACGAAAGACGAACUACUGCGAAAGCAUUUGCCAAGAAUGUUUUCAUUAAUCAAGAACGAAAGUUAGAGGAUCGAAGACGAUCAGAUACCGUCCUAGUUCUAACCAUAAACGAUGCCGACUAGGGAUCAGAGAGUGUUAUUGGAUGACCUCUUUGGCACCUUAUGGGAAACCAAAGUUUUUGGGUUCCG
rnacentral:rRNA from 1 species